rnacentral:misc_RNA from 1 species
UUUCCGUAGGUGAACCUGCGGAAGGAUCAUUAAAGAGUAAGGGUCUUCGGGCCCGAUCUCCAACCCUUUGUUUAACUACCAUGUUGCUUUGGCGGGCCCGUCUCACGACCGCCGGAAGUUUGGCUUCGACCAAACUUCUGGCCCGUGCCCGUCAGUGGCCCCUUCAAAUUCUUGAUCAAGUAUGAUGUCUUAGUUAAAAACUUAAUAGUUAAGACUUUCAACAACGGAUCUCUUGGUUCUG